rnacentral:rRNA from 1 species
GAUGAACGCUGGCGGCGUGCCUAAUACAUGCAAGUCGAGCGAAUGGAUUAAGAGCUUGCUCUUAUGAAGUUAGCGGCGGACGGGUGAGUAACACGUGGGUAACCUGCCCAUAAGACUGGGAUAACUCCGGGAAACCGGGGCUAAUACCGGAUAACAUUUUGAACCGCAUGGUUCGAAAUUGAAAGGCGGCUUCGGCUGUCACUUAUGGAUGGACCCGCGUCGCAUUAGCUAGUUGGUGAGGUAACGGCUCACCAAGGCAACGAUGCGUAGCCGACCUGAGAGGGUGAUCGGCCACACUGGGACUGAGACACGGCCCAGACUCCUACGGGAGGUAGCAGUAGGGAAUCUUCCGCAAUGGACGAAAGUCUGACGGAGCAACGCCGCGUGAGUGAUGAAGGCUUUCGGGUCGUAAAACUCUGUUGUUAGGGAAGAACAAGUGCUAGUUGAAUAAGCUGACACCUUGACGGUACCUAACCAGAAAGCCACGGCUAACUACGUGCCAGCCGCCGCAGUAAAAC